rnacentral:rRNA from 1 species
UACGAAGGGGGCUAGCGUUGCUCGGAAUCACUGGGCGUAAAGCGCACGUAGGCGGAUUGUUAAGUCAGGGGUGAAAUCCUGGAGCUCAACUCCAGAACUGCCUUUGAUACUGGCGAUCUCGAGUCCGGGAGAGGUGAGUGGAACUGCGAGUGUAGAGGUGAAAUUCGUAGGGAUGCGGAGGAACACCGAUGGCGAAGGCAGCCCCCUGGGCUAACACUGACGCUCAGGCACGAAAGCGUGGGGAGCAAACAGG